rnacentral:rRNA from 1 species
AUUGAACGCUGGCGGCAGGCCUAACACAUGCAAGCCGGGCGAGCGGCAGACGGGUGAGUAAUGUAUGGGGAUCUGCCUGAUGGGGGGGGAUAACUACUGGAAACGGUAGCUAAUACCGCAUACCAUCAGAGGUACCCAUAUGGGAUUAGCUAGUAGGUAAGGUAACGGCUUACAUAGGCGACGAACCCUAGCUGGUCUGAGAGGAUGAUCAGCCACACUGGGACUGAGACGCGGCCCAGACUCCUGCGGGAGGCAGCAGUGGGGAAUAUUGCACAAUGGAUGGAACUCUGAUGCAGCGACGCCGCGUGAACGAAGAAGGCUUUCGGGUUGUAAACCUCUUUCGCUAUCGAACGGGUAGGUGGAGAAGAAGCGCCGGCUAACUACGUGCCAGCAGCCGCGGUAAUUC